rnacentral:rRNA from 1 species
CCUGACUGCUAUCGGAUUGAUACUAAGCCAUGCGAGUCAUUGUAGCAAUACAAGGCAUACGGCUCAGUAACGCGUAGUCAACCUAACCUAUGGACGGGAAUAACCUCGGGAAACUGAGAAUAAUGCCCGAUAGAACACUAUACCUGGAAUGGUUUGUGUUCCAAAUGAUUUAUCGCCAUAGGAUGGGACUGCGGCCUAUCAGUUUGUUGGUGAGGUAAUGGCCCACCAAGACUAUUACAGGUACGGGCUCUGAGAGGAGUAGCCCGGAGAUGGGUACUGAGACACGGACCCAGGCCCUAUGGGGCGCAGCAGGCGAGAAAACUUUGCAAUGUGCGAAAGCACGACAAGGUUAAUCCGAGUGAUUUGUGCUAAACGAAUCUUUUGUUAGUCCUAGAAACACUAACGAAUAAGGGGUGGGCAAGUUCUGGUGUCAGCCGCCGCGGUAAAACCAGCACCUCAAGUGGUCAGGAUGAUUAUUGGGCCUAAAGCAUCCGUAGCCGGCUCUGUAAGUUUUCGGUUAAAUCUGUACGCUUAACGUACAGGCUGCCGGGAAUACUGCAAAGCUAGGGAGUGGGAGAGGUAGACGGUACUCGGUAGGAAGUGGUAAAUGCUUUGAUCUAUCGAUGACCACCUGUGGCGAAGGCGGUCUACAGAACACGUCCGACGGUGAGGGAUGAAAGCUGGGGGAGCAAACCGGAUUAGAUGCCCGGGUAGUCCCGGCUGUAAACUAUGCAAACUCAGUGAUGCAUUGGCUUGUGGCCAAUGCAGUGCUGCAGGGAAGCCGUUAAGUUUGCCACCUGGGAAGUACGUACGCAAGUAUGAAACUUAAAGGAAUUGGCGGGGGAGCACCACAAGGGGUGAAGCCUGCGGUUC